rnacentral:lncRNA from 1 species
GGAGAAGGAGGAGGAGAAGGAGAAGGAGAAGGAGAAGGAAGAAGAAGAGGAAGAGGAUGAUGAUGAGGAUGAGAGUGGGAGUGCCCAUCUAGAUGAAAUGAAGAGUUAAUUGAACUGAACCUGGAGAACCUGGAGCUCACUCCCUGUAAUUCUGGCCCUUCUGGAGCUGACGAUCUAGCUGGGGAAGCAGGACGAAGUUUGCACUCAUCAUUUUGGCUUGCCAAGAUUUUUUUUUCGGUAUUCUUAUGCUGUCAUCUGGUCUUUUAUCAAUUUUGUGUCUUCUGCAAAUAUGAACACCAUGACAUCUACACUUUCAUCAAGGAAUAUGCUGACUGUAACCCGUAGCAACUUCUCGGGGAUUUUCCUGUCUACACACAGAAGACAUUUUGCAACAUUUGAUCACUCCGGAGCUUGGCUGGAUCUUGGUGCAAUUCUAGCAUUGCAGAUAAGGGUAUGAUGCUCUGUGUGGAUGGAAGGAGAGGAAGGAGAGGAGAGGAGAAGACGGAUGGGUAAUGUUCAACUAAAGGUAUGGCUCCCUAAUCUGUGAACUCUGUGGGACCUUUUAGGAUACUAGGGCGUUAAAGAGUCGGAAGGGUCUUUGGAACACAGAAUAUCAGAACCUAGAGUGCCGGACCCGGAGUCAGGAAAAAUCGAGUUCAAAUCCAGU